rnacentral:tRNA from 1 species
GGGCGGAGAGCGGAAUGGUGCCGCGUCUUGGUUUGUCACCCAAGUUCCAGGGGUUCGAAUCCCCCUCCGUCCACCA